rnacentral:rRNA from 1 species
CGACCGGAUGCGGAUCUCGAAAGCCUGUCCCAGUUCGGACUGGAGUCUGCAACCCGACUCCACGAAGUUGGAUUCGCUAGUAAUCGCGCAUCAGCCAUGGCGCGGUGAAUACGUUCCCGGGCCUUGUACACACCGCCCGUCAAGCCAUGGGAGCCGGGGGGCGCCUGAAGUCCGGGACCGCGAGGACCGGCCUAGGGCGAAACUGGUAACUGGGGCUAAGUCGUAACAAGGUAAC